rnacentral:sRNA from 1 species
UGGAGUUUGUCCGAACUGGCUAUGGGAAGGAUAUGGUAAAAGUUCUCCAUAUUCAGUGAGAUGGAAAAUAUCACAGCAUUAAAGAGGUGGCAACUUCAGUGCAACUUACUCUAAGUUCCAAAAAAGAUUACCUGCAUGGAGAUAAUUCAGACAUCAUCCCUACAGACACCAUCAAGAACACAGUUCAUGUCUUGGCAAAGUUUAAAGAAAAUGGAGUUAAGCAUGUCCAUGCAUUUAUUCACACUCCCACUGGAACACACUUCGGUGAAGUUGAACAGCUGAGAAGUGGACCCCAAGUCAUUCAUUCUGGAAUCAAAGACCUCAAGCUCUUGAAAACAACACAGUCUGGAUUUGAAGGUUUCAUCAAGGACCAGUUCACUACCCUCCCUGAGGUGAAGGACUGAUGCUUUGCCACCCAAGUGUACUGCAAGUGACGCUACCACCAGUGCAGGGAUGUGGACUUCAAGGCUACCUGGGACACCAUUCGGGACCUUGUCAUGGAGAAAUCUGCUGGGCCCUAUGACAAAGAUGAAUACUCGCCCUCUGUGCAGAAGACCCUCUGUGAUAUCCAGGUGCUCUCCCUGAGCCGAGUUCCUGCGAUAGAAGAUAUGGAAAUCAGCCUGCCAAACAUUCACUACUUCAACAUAGACAUGUCCAAAAUGGGUCUGAUCAACAAGGA